ACGCCUGUUGAGACCUGCUGGUGGCUGGGGUUUCAUGUCCUCAUUUCACUUGGCCCUCACAACAAUCUUGCAAGUAGAACAUUCUUCCCCUUUUACAGAUGAAGAAACUGAGGUUUAGAGCAGCCGCUUGCCCAGCGUAGACAGCGAGAAGGACAGGUCCAGUUCUGCUUGAUGAUGAAGCCUGUGUCUUCUCUGCUGUGUGAUCCUAAUCACGUUGGGAGGUUCCUGAGGAAGCAGAGGAUUUUGCCCUUGCAUUUGAGCCACAGCAGCUCUAGCAGAGGGUCUGUAACUUUCACCAGAUUCUUAAGGAGUCUGUGACCUGGGAGAGUUUUAAGAGUGGGAAAGCUGUAAGGCCACGCUCAGGCUGGAUUCCAGCCGUGGGACCCCUCGCUUCACUUCUCUGAGCCUCAACUUCCUCAUCUGUGCAAUGGGGCAGCCUCGUGGACAUGCAGGAUUGCAGUUCUGGACAUGCAGAGCCUGGCAUCCAGAGGAGCCCAGCGCCCGCCAACUGCAGCACCCAGCACCAGCAACCCCAGGGUUGGGGGCUGACUCCAUUCUUCUCCCCAGGGCUACACCAGCUCUAGCUUCCUGGCCGCCAGUUUCCCCAGCAACUUCAUUUUGUUUAUUUGCAAUGGCUUAUUGGGGUCUCCUGGAGAAAAGAUUCUCAGCUGAGUUCCAGAAAAUGAACACGCU
rnacentral:lncRNA from 1 species